UACACUCCUACGGGAGGCAGCAGUGAGGAAUAUUGGACAAUGGGUGGAAGCCUGAUCCAGCCAUCCCGCGUGCAGGAAGACGGCCCUAUGGGUUGUAAACUGCUUUUAUCUGGGGAUAAACCUACUUACGUGUAAGUAGCUGAAGGUACCAGAAGAAUAAGCACCGGCUAACUCCGUGCCAGCAGCCGCGGUAAUACGGAGGGUGCAAGCGUUAUCCGGAUUUAUUGGGUUUAAAGGGUCCGUAGGCGGACUGAUAAGUCAGUGGUGAAAUCCGACAGCUUAACUGUCGAACUGCCAUUGAUACUGUUAGUCUUGAGUAAGGUUGAAGUGGCUGGAAUAAGUAGUGUAGCGGUGAAAUGCAUAGAUAUUACUUAGAACACCAAUUGCGAAGGCAGGUCACUAAGUCUUAACUGACGCUGAUGGACGAAAGCGUGGGGAGCGAACAGGAUUAGAAACCCCGGUAGUCCCAUGAU
rnacentral:rRNA from 1 species